rnacentral:rRNA from 1 species
GACGAACGCUGGCGGCGUGCUUAACACAUGCAAGUCGAGCGGUAAGGCCUUUCGGGGUACACGAGCGGCGAACGGGUGAGUAACACGUGGGUGAUCUGCCCUGCACUUCGGGAUAAGCCUGGGAAACUGGGUCUAAUACCGGAUAUGACCUCCUAUCGCAUGGUGGGUGGUGGAAAGAUUUAUCGGUGCAGGAUGGGCCCGCGGCCUAUCAGCUUGUUGGUGGGGUAAUGGCCUACCAAGGCGACGACGGGUAGCCGACCUGAGAGGGUGACCGGCCACAAGGGGACUGAGGCACGGCCCAGACUCCUACGGGAGGCAGCAGGGGGGAAUAUUGCACAAUGGGCGAAAGCCUGAUGCAGCGACGCCGCGUGAGGGAUGACGGCCUUCGGGUUGUAAACCUCUUUCAGCAGGGACGAAGCGCAAGUGACGGUACCUGCAGAAGAAGCACCGGCUAACUACGUG